UUGUGUAAGCUAAUUUCCUAGGUAGUUUGAUUUGAUUUUUGACAACUUGAAGUUGUGAUCUUGAGGUUUAAAACCUUAGAUCUAUGUAUAUAUAAGUGUUUCAUGUUUAGAUCUAACAAUAUUGGGUGUUGAUUUUUGGUUGGAAUCAAAGGUAUAAAAUUUCCUAAACUCAAAACUCUAGUUAGUUUAUGUGUUUUGUGAUGGUUGUUUUAGACCAAGUGUUGAACUUAUGAUCCAUAUGAGGGAAGAUCUACAUGAUAUAUGCUAUUUUAUGGUUAGAUCUUGCCAUUUUUAGGGUUGAUAAGCUUGAACAAAGAAGAAGAACCAAAACAGUUUUUUUGUUUUAAAUGAAUUGGUGGACUGCUGCUCUAAACAGAAAAUUCCGGAUUUAUUAGGGUGCUCUAAAAAUUCUGGACUUGUGAUAUGUUAUAGUACACUCAAUAAGCUUUCCAUAGACUCCGAAACGGACUAAAUCUGAUAUCGGAGGAGCAAGUUAUGGGAUUUCUACCAAACUGCACAAAGUUAAGAAAAACUGUUAGAAGGACAGUUUUUACCAGUCACUUCCGGGCUAAAUUCCGGGAGUUUAACAUGUCCAAAUAUGGAUUGUGAUAUAUGAAAACUGUAGUUUGGAAAGAUACAAAUCUAAUAAAAUUGACGGAUCAUUAAUCGGAGUUACAGAUUUCGUUUUAUAUAAGUUUUAGCAAAAGACUCCAAAACUGCCAAAUGACAAAAAGUUUCUGGCCAAACUUUUCCGAGGGCUGUUUUGGACAUUUAGUUAAUGAGAAAAAUUACAGGCUUUUGGGAAAUGAAAAUAUAUGGUAUUAAGUAGCUCGUGUCCAAAAAUGAGCUGAUUCCGAGUUAAAACGACCAAGUUAUGACCAUUACAAUUUUUGUGAUUUUCCGACG
rnacentral:lncRNA from 1 species